UACGUAGGGGGCAAGCGUUGUCCGGAAUCAUUGGGCGUAAAGCGCGUGUAGGCGGCUCGAUAAGUCCGCUCUGAAAGUCCAGGGCUCAACCCUGGGAUGCGGGUGGAUACUGUCGGGCUCGAGUCCGGAAGAGGCGAGUGGAAUUCCCGGUGUAGCGGUGAAAUGCGCAGAUAUCGGGAGGAACACCAAUGGCGAAGGCAGCUCGCUGGGACGUGACUGGCGCUGAGACGCGAAAGCGUGGGGAGCAAACAGG
rnacentral:rRNA from 1 species